rnacentral:misc_RNA from 1 species
UUAAGUUCAGCGGGCCUUCCUACCUGAUCCGAGGUCAGCCUUGGGUAAAUAAGGCUUUUAACGGCCGGAACCCGCAGCACGCCCAGAGCGAGAUGUAACUACUACGCUCGGUGUGACAGCGAGCCCGCCACUGUUUAAGGGCCUGCGGCAGCCGCAGGGCCCCAACGCAAGCCGGGGGCUUGAUGGUUGAAAUGACGCUC